rnacentral:misc_RNA from 1 species
UUAACUAUUAUAUAGUACUCAGACAUCACUAAGUUACAGAGUUGGGUCCUCUGGCAGGCGCUCUCCAGCCGAAGCCGGCGCGGGCCUUGCAGCCCGCGGCCUGCCAAAGCAACAGUGGUAUAAUAAUCAAGGGUGGAGGAGCUAGACAGGACCCGUCGGCUUUCACCUUCGGGCCUGGCUCUUCAUUUUAAUGAUCCUUCCGCAGGUUCACCUACGGAAA